rnacentral:rRNA from 1 species
UCGAGAGUUUGAUCCUGGCUCAGGAUGAACGCUAGCGGCAGGCUUAACACAUGCAAGUCGAGGGGUAUAGUUCUUCGGAGCUAGAGACCGGCGCACGGGUGCGUAACGCGUAUGCAAUCUACCUUUCACAAAGGGAUAGCCCAGAGAAAUUUGGAUUAAUACCUCAUAGUAUGUGAGAAUCGCAUGGUUUUCACAUUAAAGUUCCAACGGUAAAAGAUGAGCAUGCGUCCCAUUAGCUAGAUGGUAAGGUAACGGCUUACCAUGGCGACGAUGGGUAGGGGUCCUGAGAGGGAGAUCCCCCGACACUGGUACUGAGACACGGACCAUACUCUACGGGGAGCAGCAGUGAGGAAUAUUGGACAAUGGGGCGCAAGCCUGACGGAGCAAUACCGCGUGAGGACGACUGCCUAUGGGUUGUAAACUGC